rnacentral:rRNA from 1 species
CCGUAUACAGGUGUUGCAUGGCUGUCGUCAGCUCGUGUCGUGAGAUGUCGGUUAAGUCCGCUAACGAGCGCAACCCUCGUCGUAUGUUAUAUGUGUCAUACGAGACUGCCGGUAAAAGCCGGAGGAAGGUGAGGAUGAUGUCAAGUCAGCAUGACCUUUAUAUCCAGGGCUACACACACGCUACAAUGGUCUGUACAAUGGGUAGCCAAGCCGCGAGGCGGAGCCAAUCCUGAAGGCAGGCCUCAGUUCAGAUUGCAGUCUGCAACUCGACUGCAUGAAGCCGGAGUUGCUAGUAACCGCAGGUCAGCAAUACUGCGGUGAAUACGUUCCCGGGUCUU